CUAGAGUCGCUAUAUAAAGAGCUUUACCUUACCACCAAACAACACAAGCACAAUGACAUCCAAGAAUUCCAUUGCUAUUCUGGUCUUUCUCCUUGUUACUCUCAUUAUGCCUGCCCAAUCCACCAGUUAUCCAAUUCAUGAUCAACAAAUUGUACGCUGCAUUUAUAUGGGGCCGUGCGUAAAUAGUCGUCAUUGUGAAAAGCAUUGCCAAUUCAAUCACCAUCUUCUUGGGAAAUGCGCUGAUUAUAACAAUACACAAAUUUGCUGCUGUCUUCCACCAUGAUUUGGAAGGGAGUUCAGGAGGCCUUUUCGUUAAUACAUAUGUAGUCUUCAUGAGUUUCAUUUUGUGCCACUAUGCCCGCUUUCAUGUUCUCUGCUCUCUAUAUGGAAGGAAAUAAAUGAAAUAAUUUAUAAACAAGAAAGCAAUAGAAAAAGAAA